GACAGAGGUGCCAAGCGUUAGGCGGAAUUACUGGGCGUAAAGCGUGCGCAGGCGGUGAUGUAAGACAGGUGUGAAAUCCCCGGGCUUAACCUGGGAACUGCAUUUGUGACUGCAUCGCUGGAGUGCGGCAGAGGGGGAUGGAAUUCCGCGUGUAGCAGUGAAAUGCGUAGAUAUGCGGAGGAACACCGAUGGCGAAGGCAAUCCCCUGGGCCUGCACUGACGCUCAUGCACGAAAGCGUGGGGAGCAAACAGG
rnacentral:rRNA from 1 species